rnacentral:rRNA from 1 species
GAAACCGGGUGAUCUAGCCAUGGGCAGGUUGAAGGUUGAGUAACAUCAACUGGAGGACCGAACCGACUAAUGUUGAAAAAUUAGCGGAUGACUUGUGGCUAGGGGUGAAAGGCCAAUCAAACUCGGAGAUAGCUGGUUCUCCCCGAAAGCUAUUUAGGUAGCGCCUCGGACGAAUACUACUGGGGGUAGAGCACUGUUAAGGCUAGGGGGUCAUCCCGACUUACCAACCCUUUGCAAACUCCGAAUACCAGUAAGUACUAUCCGGGAGACACACGGCGGGUGCUAACGUCCGUCGUGGAGAGGGAAACAACCCAGACCGCCAGCUAAGGUCCCAAAGUAUUGCUAAGUGGGAAACGAUGUGGGAAGGCUCAGACAGCUAGGAUGUUGGCUUAGAAGCAGCCAUCAUUUAAAGAAAGCGUAAUAGCUCACUAGUCGAGUCGGCCUGCGCGGAAGAUGUAACGGGGCUAAGCAAUACACCGAAGCUGCGGCAAUAUCUUUUAGAUAUUGGGUAGGGGAGCGUUCUGUAAGCCGUUGAAGGUGAAUCGUAAGGUUUGCUGGAGGUAUCAGAAGUGCGAAUGCUGACAUGAGUAACGACAAAGGGGGUGAAAAACCUCCUCGCCGGAAGACCAAGGGUUCCUGUCCAACGUUAAUCGGGGCAGGGUGAGUCGACCCCUAAGGUGAGGCCGAAAGGCGUAAUCGAUGGGAAACGGGUUAAUAUUCCCGUACUUCUGACUAUUGCGAUGGGGGGACGGAGAAGGCUAGGUGGGCCAGGCGACGGUUGUCCUGGUUCAAGUGCGUAGGCUUGAGAGUUAGGUAAAUCCGGCUCUCUCUAAGGCUGAGACACGACGUCGAGCUGCUACGGCAGUGAAGUCAUUGAUGCCAUGCUUCCAGGAA